rnacentral:rRNA from 1 species
UGGGGAAUUUUGGACAAUGGGCGCAAGCCUGAUCCAGCCAUGCCGCGUGCGGGAAGAAGGCCUUCGGGUUGUAAACCGCUUUUGUCAGGGAAGAAAUCUUCUGAGUUAAUACCUCGGGAGGAUGACGGUACCUGAAGAAUAAGCACCGGCUAACUACGUGCCAGCAGCCGCGGUAAAUACGUAGGGUGCAGGCGUUAAUCGGAAUUACUGGGCGUAAAGCGUGCGCAGGCGGUUUUGUAAGACAGAGGUGAAAUCCCCGGGCUCAACCUGGGAACUGCCUUUGUGACUGCAAGGCUUGAGUGCGGCAGAGGGGGAUGGAAUUCCGCGUGUAGCAGUGAAAUGCGUAGAUAUGCGGAGGAAACACCGAUGGCGAAGGCAAUCCCCUGGGCCUGCACUGACGCUCAUGCACGAAAGCGUGGGGAGCAAACAGGAUUAGAUACCCUGGUAGUCACGCCCUAAAACGAUGUCAAACUGGUUGUUGGGAAGGUUCCUUCUCAGUAACGUAGCUAACGCGUGAAAGUUGACCGCCUGGGGAGUACGGCCGC